GAUUCCCUCUUCCCUCCUCCUAUAAAUAUAUCAUCCCUCCCUCUUCUCUGUUUCUCUCUGUGUUUCAAACAUGAUCAACUCUGGAAUGCUUGCCUUCCCUUUUCUCACUUUGUUCCCCUUCUCAUUCUCCCACCUCGCUCAUGCCCUCCAUCUUUCUCCUUCUCCCGCUCCUCCUCCUACCAGCGACGGCACUACCAUUGAUCAAGGAGUAGCUUACCUUCUCAUGCUGGUCGCUCUGGCUAUCACCUACUUGUUUCAUUGAUUUCAUUUUUCCUUUCUUUUUUCCCCUUUGUAUUUUCUCUCCCAUGUAAACUACCGAUGACAUUAUUUAUGAUUCUUUCUUGAUCAGAGAUGCUCAAUCCUGCUUUGCUUUUCAGUAUGAAUGAUAUUCCUGUCCCUACCUUGAAUCUC